CACAUCAAGCCCUGGUGACAAGUGGUUGGGCACUAGGACCUGGCGGGCAUACCAGAAGGUAUCAAUAGGGGUGGUGUAAUCAGAAAUGGAAGGCCUUUGAUCGAUUUCCUCCUAGUGCAGGAAGUGUUGACUGAGGCGGCUGGCAAACAAAUGUUAGGAAAAAUAACUGAAAUGUUUUCCGAGGUUACGGUCUGUCCAACCAUACAAUCCUUAUAAUAGUGUAAAUCUUUUCUUGUUAAUCCAUUGUGAAAUAACCUGGCAGCAGCACAAAGGCAACAGGGACACAUUCAAAGAUAUACAAAUGUGUUUAUUGGGUACACCCUGUCUUGCCUGAAGGCCUGGCUGGGAAGCACUGAGCUCACGUGACGUCAAAGGGGCAGGGUCUUGAAAGACCACGAUGAGCCCAGCACAGAACAGGUGGCUGCUGACCUGCCGGCAGUCGUGCUGCCUGGUGGACCCCUUUCAUGUGUGCUCCUCCUCCAUGUGCCCGCUCCCCGGAGGUGAUGGUGCUCCAUCAAGAUAAAUAUUUACGCCAGGUCCACAUGUUGACGGCUUUCCAACCUUACAUUGGCACAGCUGUGUACACAUUGUCUGAUUGCAAUUAAUCUCCUGUAAUGCAAUGUGGCAUGUUUCUUAUUGGCGACAAUUAAAAAUCGCGGAAGCGGCCUAAUGAGCACCAAUAAAUCAUUUACCAGCAGUAAUAACCAUGUGUGGCCAUGUGUGUUCACCGUAGGACUGUACACACCAACAGAGUGCAACCAUGUUCACACGGCCUUCUCCUGUCCCAUUUAGCCCAAAGUUUCUCUUCCUCUCUCUGCACCGCUAUGGUGUUGACCUGUCAUACUGGGACAUAUAGAUAUAGAUGGAUGGAUAGAUAGAUGGAUUGAGAGAUACCAUAUUCAUACCGUAGAUUGAUAUACCGUGG
ensembl:lncRNA